AUGCACCGGGGGCGCGGAGGACGCCGGCUCAAGGAGGGGUCUCCUUGCCCGGGACGCGCGCGGGAGGCCGCUUUCGUGGCGGGUCGGGAGGCUGAGAGGGAGCGCGAGCCCUUCGACGUCCUCCCGGCCCGGGCCCACCUGCGCCCGCCCUCCCCGGGUCCCCCGGCGCCCGCCCCGGCGCCCGCCCCUCCCCCGAGCUGGGGACGGUGGCGGGAGCCGGGGGCCAACCAGCUCCCUCCUUCCUUCCGUCCCUCCCGCCUCGGCUCCCGCCCGCCGGCUCCGGGACCGCAGCCACGUCUGAAAGCGCCUCAUUGUGCGCGCUCUCCUCGGCGGCGGCGCGGGGCGGCGGCACCCGGCACGCGGGGGGCGCGGGGGGCGCGGGGGGCGCGCGGGGACUCGGGGGGCGCGGGGGACACGCGGGGACUCGGGGGGCGCGCGGGGACUCGGGGGGGCGCGGGGCCGCGGGGGCGCGCGGGGGCGGAGGUCCAGGGCCCGGGCAGGGGCGCGCGAGUCUGCGUCUGGCCGCUGCCCGGCGACUGCACCCCCACCCACCCCACACCCAUCCCGUCCCCACGACGCCUCCCGUUUGCCAAGACCCUCCUGCCCCGGUGCCCGCUCCCCGCCGCCCGAGAGCUCCCGGUGCCUCCGACGUCGGUAUCCGCCGCCCGGCGCCCGUCCUCCCCGAGCCUUCUCGCGGGUGUCCCCGGGAGCCCCUCGCCGGCCCUGGGAGCCUGCGGAGCGCGUCGGCCCCUGCGGACCCUCCGGCGAAGCCUGGCACCGGGAAGCGGCGAAGUCGGGGGCUCCUGCGGGACCCGGGAGAGAGGUGCCGCCUCCGCGCCGCGCCAGCUCGGGCCGGGGCGCCCGCUGCGGGGUACGUUGCUCGCUGCUCUCGGCCCGGGGCACCGACCUAGCCGGCAGUCGGGUCCGGGAGACGAUCAGAACGAGGCAAGGACCCUGCGACUCCAGGCGCCGGCUGCAAAGUGCGUUCCUGCGGCUUCCGCUCACCUGAGAUCGCUGCUGGGGAUCCCCAGACUCCCGAAACGUGAGAUUCCAAGGGCAGGGAAUUGA
rnacentral:lncRNA from 1 species